GCACAAGCGGUGGAUGAUUGUGGUUUAAUUCGAUGCAACGCGAAAAGCCUUACCCACCUUUGACAUGGCAGGAAUCCUAAAGAGAGUUUUGGAGUGCUCGAAAGAGAACCUGCACACAGGUGCUGCAUGGCUGUCGUCAGCUCGUGUCGUGAGAUGUUGGGUUAAGUCCCGCAACGAGCGCAACCCUUGUCAUUAGUUGCUACAUUCAGCUGGGCACUCUAAUGAGACUGCCGGUGACAAACCGGAGGAAGGUGGGGAUGACGUCAAGUCCUCAUGGCCCUUAUAGGUGGGGCUACACACGUCAUACAAUGGAUGGUACAAAGGGUCGCCAACCCGCGAGGGGGAGCCAAUCCCAUAAAGCCAUUCGUAGUCCGGAUCGCAGUCUGCAACUCGACUGCGUGAAGUCGGAAUCGCUAGUAAUCGUGGAUCAGAAUGUCACGGUGAAUACGUUCCCGGGUCUU
rnacentral:rRNA from 1 species